rnacentral:rRNA from 1 species
ACUUGGAUAUGGAUUCUGCACGGCAACGUAACAGAAUGCGGCGACGUCGGCAGGAGCCCUGGGAGGAGUNUUNUNUUCUUCUUAACAGCUUAUCACCCCGGAAUUGGUUUAUCCGGAGAGGGGGUNUUAUGGCUGGAAGAGCGUUCCCUUGCUGGGACGUCCGGUGCGCUUCUNACGGCCCUUGAAAAGCCGCAGGAAGGAAUAGUUUUCAUGCCAAGUCGUACU